UGGGGGAUAUUGCACAAUGCGCGAAAGCCUGAUGCAGCGACGCCGCGUGGGGGAUGAAGGCUUUCGGGUUGUAAACCUCUUUCGCUAUCGAACAAGGCCCGCUUAGGGUGGGUUGAGGGUAGGUGGAGAAGAAGCGCCGGCUAACUACGUGCCAGCAGCCGCGGUAAUACGUAGGGCGCGAGCGUUGUCCGGAAUUAUUGGGCGUAAAGGGCUUGUAGGCGGCUUGUUGCGCCUGCUGUGAAAACGCGGGGCUUAACUUCGCGCGUGCAGUGGGUACGGGCAGGCUUGAGUGUGGUAGGGGUGACUGGAAUUCCAGGUGUAGCGGUGGAAUGCGCAGAUAUCUGGAGGAACACCGAUGGCGAAGGCAGGUCACUGGGCCAUUACUGACGCUGAGGAGCGAAAGCAUGGGUAGCGAACAGG
rnacentral:rRNA from 1 species